GGGCUGUGCUCAGAGCAGGCAGCUAAAGAACGGCUCUUUUGUUUAUAACACACCCAUCAAGUAUCUGGGGUCAUUGUGAUGAGGGGCAUAUAAAUUGUGGCCUCCUUAUGAACAAAUUCCCUCCACAU
ensembl:snoRNA